AGGUCGCUAGCUCAGAUGGUUAGAGCAUCGGACUUUAAUCCGGUGGUCCUGGGUUCGAGUCCCAGGCGACCUA
rnacentral:tRNA from 1 species